ensembl:lncRNA
AUGAACGGGCCCUCGCACCCGGGCUCACCACCACCGGGAGGCUUUUGUAAAACAGCGAACGGCGAGAAAUAUGCUUUUAAUGCGGUAAAUAUAAGAGGAAUAUGUCAAAGUCAUUUAUAUGUGCCAAUCUUCCUGCUGCCAGCUGGUGGCGCUAUGACUAUAACUGAAUAUGGGCAUAUCAAUCUGUUCAGGUCAGGAGUCUUAUCAAACAUGUACAGUUUGGGGCAGAUUGGACAUUGUAUGUCUGAGUUACAGCAACUUCAUUUUUCAUGACGAAUCAUCGAAAUUCGUCAGGCCGCCACGGACACGCCCUUCAACGAAAACACAAGAUCUUCGCAAUUUAACAUCACAAAGACCUUUAGAUUAGGCAUACCAAAUUUGGUGUUGAUCUGAAUAAAUCUCUAGGAGGAGUUCGUUAAAAUACAAGGCAUGCAAAUGACAAAAAAAUGAUGCAAAAUUUGCUCAUAAAAUUAAAAAUAACCGACUUCCUGUUGGGUUUCGGAUAUUGCUCCAAGAGUCUUUUUUGUAGGUACUGAUGCUUUACAUAUGUGUGCCAAUUUGCGCGCAUGUACGUGAAACACAGCUCGAGGGCUGUUGAUUUUUUUGGGAUAGGUGGCGCUGUCGAGCCAUUUUGCCACACCCUCUUCUGAAACCUAUAUCAGACGUAAAUUUUCACCAGGUCUGACGCGUGUGCAAAGUUUCAGGACUUUUUCGAGCAUGUUUAGGCCCUCAAAAAUGCGAUUCAUUUUGGAGAAGAAGAAGAAGAAGAAGAAGAAGAAUAAUAAUAAUAAUAAUAAUAAACAAAGCAGAUACAAGAGGGUCCUCACACCAUCGGUGCUCGGGCCCUAAUAAACACAGCAAUUCCAAGAGGGUCCUCGCACCAUCGGUGCUCGGGCCCUAAUUAAAGCUGCAAGCAGCGAUGAACGGGCCCUCGCACCCGGGCUCACCACCACCGGGUGGCUUUUGUAAAACAGCGAACGGCGAGAAAUAUGCGUUUAAUGUGGUAUAUAUAAGAGGAAUAUGCCAAAGUCAUUUAUAUGUGCCAAUCUUCCUGCUGCCAGCUGGUGGCGCUAUGACUAUAACUGGAUUUUGUCAUAUAGAUUUCUUCAGUCCAGCACUUUUAUCAAGCAUAUGAAAUUUAGGGCAGAUUGAACAUGGAAUGUUUGAGUUAGUAUAAAGUAUGUUGUGUCGUAUUGCCAACAGGUGGCGCUAUGAUUAUAACUGAACAUUGGCCUUUAGAUAUCUUCAGGCCAUGACUCUUAUCAAAUAUUUGAAGUUUGGUGCAGAUUGGACAUUGCAUGUUUAAGUUAGUGUAAAAUAAGCCAUUUUCUGUUGUCAGCAGGUGGCGCUAUGAUUAUAGUGGAAUAAUGACCUUCAGAUGUGUUCAGGCCAAGACUCUUUUCGAACAUGUGAAGUUUGGGGAAGAUCGGACAUCUUAUGCCUGAGUUACAACAACUUCUAUUCCCAUGGCAAGAUAUCGAACUUUGUCACGGCGCCAUGGCCACACCCUUUAAUGAAACCUCAAGAUGUUCACAAUUUAACAUCGCAAAGGCCUUUAGAUUAGACUGACCAAAAAAAAUUAUAAAAUGUCAUAAAAUUUCUAUGAGUAGUUUGUUACGGCGUAAAACAUGUCACUUCCUGUUGCCAGCAGGUGGCGCUAUAGCGAUAUCUGAAUAUUGGCAUGUAGAUAUAUUCAGGUCAGGAGUCUUCUCAAACAUGUGAAGUUUGGGGCAGAUUGGACAUUGCAUGUUUAAGUUAGUGUAAAAUAAGCCAUUUUCUGUUGUCAGCAGGUGGCGCUAUGAUUAUAGUGGAAUAAUGACCUUCAGAUGUGUUCAGGCCAAGACUCUUUUCGAACAUGUGAAGUUUGGGGAAGAUCGGACAUCUUAUGCCUGAGUUCCAACAACUUCUAUUCCCAUGGCGAGACAUUGAACUUUGUCACGGCGCCAUGGCCACACCCUUCAAUGAAACCUCAAGAUGUUCACAAUUUAACAUCGCAAAGGCCUUUAGAUUAGACUGACCAAAAAAAAUUAUAACAUGUCAUAAAAUAUCUAGGAGUAGUUUGUUACGGCGUAAAACAUGUCACUUCCUGUUGCCAGCAGGUGGCGCUAUAGCGAUAUCUGAAUAUUGGCAUGUAGAUAUAUUCAGGUCAGGAGUCUUCUCAAACAUGUGAAGUUUGGGGCAGAUUGGACAUUGUAUGUCUGAGUUAUAGCAACUUCCUUUCUCAUAGCGAAACAUCGAAAUUUGUAAGGCCGCCACAGACACGCCCUUAAACGAAACCUCAAGAUCUUCGCAAUUUAACAUCGCAAAGGCCUUUAGAUUACACUGACAAAGUUUGGUGUUGAUCUGAAUAAAUCUCUAGGAGGAGUUCGUUAAAGUACAACCC